UUUUCAGUCUGCAGUGAACCUGACUGAGAGAGGCAUUAUCUGAGAAGCUAUUGACGCCAAUUUAUCAUUCUGCUUUGUUCUAAAUGAUUUGUACACAGCUGAGUCUGCAGUGAACCUGACUGAGAGAGGCAUUAUCUGAGAAGCUAUUGACGCCAAUUUAUCAUUCUGCUUUGUUCUAAAUGAUUUGUACACAGCUGAGUCUGCAGUGAACCUGACUGAGAGAGAAAUACACACAGACUGAAGCUGAUAUCCGGUGUCCUGAGUUUUAUUAGAAUCCCAUACACAACGCAGAUGACGGGGGAGUAGCAGAAGGGGAAGUCUGGCUACAGCAGCACUCAGAUUUUGAAGUUGGGUAGUAAGAUCUUAACGCCAGCCACAAACUGUACCAUUUUUCAAAUAACAGUCCCAGCACUGCUGACUGAGUGUGACGACUCAUGUUUGUUAAAGCAAGUAGACUUUUUGACUUUCACAAGAAGACAUCACACUGGACACACCAGCGUGAACACCAGAGGAAGCACAAGA